GAUGAACGCUGGCGGCGUGCCUAAUACAUGCAAGUCGAGCGAACGGACGAGAAGCUUGCUUCUCUGAUGUUAGCGGCGGACGGGUGAGUAACACGUGGAUAACCUACCUAUAAGACUGGGAUAACUUCGGGAAACCGGAGCUAAUACCGGAUAAUAUUUUGAACCGCAUGGUUCAAAAGUGAAAGACGGUCUUGCUGUCACUUCUAGAUGGAUCCGCGCUGCAUUAGCUAGUUGGUAAGGUAACGGCUUACCAAGGCAACGAGGCAUAGCCGACCUGAGAGAGUGAUAGGCGACACGGGAGGGGAGACGCGGUCAAGAGUACUGCGGGACGGAGCAGUAGGCAACCGUACGCAAUAGGCGAGAGCAUUACGGAGUGACGGGACGUGAGUGACAACGGUCUUCGGAGCGUAAAACUCUGUUAUGGGGGAAGAACCGAUGUGGAAGUAAAUGAGGAGAGCGUGACGGUACCUAGUCAAAAAGCAACGGCUAACUACGUG
rnacentral:rRNA from 1 species